GGAGAGCUCAAGCAGAGCAGGAGCCUAGUGGCUGAGGUGCCACCGAGGCUGGGGACUGAACCCAGAUCUCCAGGCCGAGUCUCACUGCGCCUGCUGCACCGAUCUCUGCGCUUGCUCCUGCGAGGCGCCGCACUGCCUCAGCCGCCGCCCCGGAGGUAAGCGGGCCAGGGUUGUCAGGGAUGGAUGGGGGUCCCGCGUCCCCGCACGACUCCUGCUGGUCCCCCUUGUCGUGCCGUCCGCUUGUCCGUGUGUCCAUGAGUCUGCCGCUGUCCUCUGCGGGUCUCCCUGAACCCGGGGGUUCGGUGCGCGCGGCAGUGUAGGGGCGCGGGGUCCCCAGCAGCGUGGACCCCUGGGGAAGGCCCUGCCUGCCUAGUUCCCUUCGGAAGGAGGCCCAGGGCUGGUCCGCCCGAGCCCGGCGAGGGGCCGCGGGUGCGCACCGGAGCGUGGCUGCAACAGGUCUGCUCCCCGCUCGAGCUCCGCGCCGUCCCCUGGGGUCCCCUCCGCCUCUCCGCGCCGCGCGAGCACCACAGGACGUCGAUGGCCUUGGGGCCCCUGCUGAUACUCAAGCUGCCACCCUAAGACUGGCAGCGGAGAAGGCUCGGAGGUCGCUGGCAGAGACCGGUCGGCUCAAGUGGGUGGCCUCGGGUGAAGCGGAAGGACAGCGUCCUGGCGGGGCGCAGCCAGGGUCGUGGCCAGACUCCAGCUCCCCGCCCGGGGAACGAAGCCGGCGACGUUGUGGAAUGGUCCGGCGAGAAACGAGGAGGGUCCGGAGCGCACCGGCCACCCACCGGCGCCGAGGCUCGAGGCUCGGAGUCCUGCUCCUUGAGCAGCGCUGCGCAGUAGGGACUCCAUCUCCAUCUCUACUUUAUUUUCACAUUUGAGAACCUGUUGAUGGGAUGGAUGAAAAUGCUGAAGUUGAUCACAGUGCUGAGAAUAUUCUUGAAGAUAAAUGGAAGAACUGUUAUGUGCAACAAAUCGGUCAGCUGUCUUUUCUGCCUGUACCACUUGGAGGGAAAAAAAAUCAGAAGGACUCUUUGCUUCCUCCUUCUGGAAGGAGUUGAGCUAAAGGACAAUCAGAUUCUGGGGUCUUCCUGGGACUUUCUUCUACUGGUGACGUGACUGGAGCAGGAGGAAGACCCGAGCUCAUGCCUGAGCUGAAGUCUUGCCUUUCUUCAGCAGAAUUGCAUGCAGAUUUCAGUUUCCAGCAUCCCUUGUGGCUUUCUGUGUGACUUAGCUCCUCCUUGUGGAUCACAUCCAGGACUGGAGAGUGCUUCAAGUGAACACGGCUGUGGUAGGGCUGUCUUUCACCCUGAAGAACUCUGCUUGACAACUUGGAACCCCAGAUGUGCUCCGCAGGAGACUGCCUGGAAAUGAACGAGCAGACUGUGGGUACUCUAGACAGACGUCCUUCUCACAGGCCUCUGGCCCGAGCUCUGAGUCCCACUUCUGUGUGUGAUAAGCCACCCAGACGUUUGUCAGUCUGAUCUGUUUAUCGAAAAAGCUACUGGGGCUCGAAAGCUCAGAGACACUCUGUCAGGAAUCAAUAAAACCAUGAGAUACUGCA
ensembl:lncRNA